rnacentral:lncRNA from 1 species
GUUAGAUGGACCAACACAAUUCAUUGAUUCUUUGUAGUAAAGUGGUGAGCUUUUAUUCUUCUAAAGACUUCGACAUUUCAUCUGUUACUAUCAUAGAUUAUAAUUUAGAGUUUUCAUUAUCAUAAACAUUAUUAUUUUCAUUGUCAUCUAUCAUAGUCGGGGCUAUGUCCUUACAAAGAAUGGUUUUUUAUUCUUUUGUUAGAAGGCUUUAUUGGAUUAUUAUGGACUUGGGUAAUGUUAGUCGAUUAUUUUUACAGUUAUUAGUUAUCAGUCAUAGACUUAUCUUUUAUUCUUUAAUCUUACCUUGUUCAAUCUUGC